rnacentral:rRNA from 1 species
CAAUAGCGUAUAUUUAAGUUGUUGCAGUUAAAAAGCUCGUAGUUGGAUUUCGGGUGGGACGCAGCGGUCUCGCAUUGCGUUUGUACUGCUGCAGCCCUCCUUCUUGCCGGGGGCGGCCUCUCGGACUUCACUGUCUGGGGGUCAGAACCGGCGAUGUUACUUUGAGUAAAUUAGAGUGUUCAAAGCAAGCUUACGCUCUGAAUAUAAUAGCAUGGGAUAACACGACAGGACUCUGGCCUAUCGUGUUGGUCUAUAGGACCAGAGUAAUGAUUAAGAGGGACAGUCGGGGGCAUUCGUAUUCCGUUGUCAGAGGUGAAAUUCUUGGAUUUACGGAAGACGAACAUCUGCGAAAGCAUUUGCCAAGGAUGUUUUCAUUGA